UACGUAGGGUGCAAGCGUUAAUCGGAAUUACUGGGCGUAAAGCGUACGCAGGCGGCUUUGCAAGACAGGUGUGAAAUCCCCGGGCCUAACCUGGGAACUGCAUUUGUGACUGCAUGGCUAGAGUCUGUCAGAGGGGGGUGGAAUUCCACGUGUAGCAGUGAAAUGCGUAGAGAUGUGGAAGAACACCGAUGGCGAAGGCAGCCCCCUGGGAUGAGACUGACGCUCAUGUACGAAAGCGUGGGGAGCAAAC
rnacentral:rRNA from 1 species